UGCGGAUUGGCGCAGUCAGGAAGCGCGCCGGGCUCAUAACCCGGAGGUCACCCGUUCGAAUCGGGUAUCCGCUC
rnacentral:tRNA from 1 species